GACGAACGCUGGCGGCGUGCCUAAUACAUGCAAGUAGAACGCUGAAGAGAGGAGCUUACUCUUCUUGGAUGAGUUGCGAACGGGUGAGUAACGCGUAGGUAACCUGCCUUGUAGCGGGGGAUAACUAUUGGAAACGAUAGCUAAUACCGCAUAACAAUGGAUGACACAUGUCAUUUAUUUGAAAGGGGCAAUUGCUCCACUACAAGAUGGACCUGCGUUGUAUUAGCUAGUAGGUGAGGUAAUGGCUCACCUAGGCGACGAUACAUAGCCGUCCUGAGAGGGUGAUCGGCCACACUGGGACUGAGACACGGCCCAGACUCCUACGGGAGGCAGCAGUAGGGAAUCUUCGGCAAUGGGGGCAACCCUGACCGAGCAACGCCGCGUGAGUGAAGAAGGUUGUCGGAUCGUAAAGCUCUGUUGUAAGUCAAGAACGGGUGUGAGAGUGGAAAGUUCACACUGUGACGGUAGCUUACCAGAAAGGGACGGCUAACUACGUG
rnacentral:rRNA from 1 species